rnacentral:rRNA from 1 species
GAUGAACGCUGGCGGCGUGCCUAAUACAUGCAAGUCGAGCGAACGGACGAGAAGCUUGCUUCUCUGAUGUUAGCGGCGGACGGGUGAGUAACACGUGGAUAACCUACCUAUAAGACUGGGAUAACUUCGGGAAACCGUAGCUAAUACCGGAUAAUAUUUUGAACCUCAUGGUUCAAAAGUGAAAGACGGUCUUGCUGUCACUUAUAGAUGGAUCCGCGCUGCAUUAGCUAGUUGGUAAGGUAACGGCUUACCAAGGCAACGAUGCAUAGCCGACCUGAGAGGGUGAACGGCCACACUGGAACUGAGACACGGUCCAGACUCCUACGGGAGGCAGCAGUAGGGAAUCUUCCGCAAUGGGCGAAAGCCUGACGGAGCAACGCCGCGUGAGUGAUGAAGGUCUUCGGAUCGUAAAACUCUGUUAUUAGGGAAGAACAAAUGUGUAAGUAACUGUGCACAUCUUGACGGUACCUAAUCAGAAAGCCACGGCUAACUACGUG